rnacentral:misc_RNA from 1 species
UCGUAAAACAGAGGUGCGAGGGCUGUCGCUGACCUUCAAGGGUCGUGCACGCCCAAGUGCUCUCACACAAUCCAUCUCACCCCAUUGUGCAUCACCGCGUGGGUCCCCCUUUGGGGGGCUCGCGUUUCCACACAAAACCCCCACUUUAAAAGUGUAGAAUGACCUCUAUUAUAAAAUCAAUA